rnacentral:rRNA from 1 species
GGUUGGCUCAGAAGCAGCCAUCCUUUAAAGAGUGCGUAACAGCUCACUAGUCGAAUGACUCUGCGCCGAUAAUUUACCGGGGCUAAGCAUACUACCGAAGCUAUGGAUCCCAAGGGAUGGUAGGGGAGCGUUCCAUGAACGGAGAAGUACGACCGAAAGGACGUGUGGAGAUCAUGGAAGAGAGAAUGCCGGUGUGAGUAGCGGAACGUGGGUGAGAAUCCCACGCACCGAAAACCCAAGGUUUCCAGAGGAAGGUUCGUCCGCUCUGGGUAAGUCGGGACCUAAGGCGAGGCCGAAAGGCGUAGUCGAUGGACAACAGGUAGAGAUUCCUGUACCCGUAUAUAUGUGAAGGAAUGACGGAGAGAGGAAGCUGCAGCCAGCGGCUGGAAGAGCUGGUGCAAGCGAGAUAUCGGGAUGGCAGGCAAAUCCACCAUCCGAAACGAGAAGGCGUGAAGCGUACGGAAAGCUACGGCGAGUACGGAAGGCAGUGGAGGAACUUCCAAGAAAAGUUUCUAACGUUAAGUAUAUAUGGCCCGUACCGAAAAUGGACACACAUGGGUGAGGAGAGAAUCCUAAGGUGAGCGAGAGAACUAUAGCUAAGGAACUCUGCAAAAUGACUCCGUAACUUAGGGAGAAGGAGUGCUCAUAGAGAUAUGAGCCGCAGUGAAACGGCCCAAGCGACUGUUUACCAAAAACACAGCUCUCUGCUAAGCCGCAAGGCGAAGUAUAGGGGGUGACGCCUGCCCGGUGCUGGAAGGUUAAGGGGAGGGGUUAACGCAAGUGAAGCCCUGAACUGAAGCCCCAGUAAACGGCGGCCGUAACUAUAACGGUCCUAAGGUAGCGAAAUUCCUUGUCAGGUAAGUUCUGACCCGCACGAAAGGCGUAACGAUUUGGGCGCUGUCUCAGCUGUAGACUCGGUGAAGUCUUAGUACCUGUGAAGAUGCAGGUUACCCGCGACUAGACGGAAAGACCCCAUGGAGCUUCACUGCAGGUUGAUAUUGGGAUUUGAUGCAGCAUGUACAGGAUAGGUAGGAGGCAAAGAGAUGGAUACGCCAGUAUUCAAGGAGCCGCUGUUGGGAUACUACCCCUGUUGUAUUGGAUUUCUAACCGGACGACGUAGAGCCGUUGACGGGACAGUGUCAGUCGGGCAGUUUGACUGGGGCGGUCGCCUCCCAAAGAGUAACGGAGGCGCCCAAAGAUACCCUCAGCUUGGAUGGAAACCAAGCGCAGAGUGCAAAGGCAAAAGGGUGUUUGACUGCGAGACCCACAAGUCGAGCAGGGACGAAAGUCGGGCUUAGUGAUCCGGCGGUGCUGAAUGGAAAGGCCGUCGCUCAACGGAUAAAAGCUACCCUGGGGAUAACAGGCUGAUCUCCCCCAAGAGUCCACAUCGACGGGGAGGUUUGGCACCUCGAUGUCGGCUCAUCGCAUCCUGGGGCUGUAUUCGGUCCCAAGGGUUUGGCUGUUCGCCAAUUAAAGCGGUACGCGAGCUGGGUUCAGAACGUCGUGAGACAGUUCGGUCCCUAUCUGUCGUGGGCGCAGGAAAUUUGAGAAGAGCUGUCCUCAGUACGAGAGGACCGGGAUGGACGCAUCAAUGGUGGACCAGUUGUCACGCCAGUGGCAUAGCUGGGUAGCUAAAUGCGGAAGGGAUAAACGCUGAAGGCAUCUAAGUGUGAAACCCACUUCAAGAUGAGAUUUCCCAUUGC